UCUAAAAAUAGUGUAACUACGAGGAGGAUGAAGACUUCACAGGAAGGAGCAGAAACCAAAGGAGAGGAAUAGAAACCAUGGCAAGCUCUGACUUAGAAGGCUGUAGUAGAGAUCAUCUUGAAAGAUAUUGGUUGGUAUUUUCCUCAGCUUUGCUUACAAGGCCUCAUCACCCUCUCUCUUAGUUACAGCUAGGACCCAAAAUUGUGAUCUUCCAGGAACAGGAGGACGGUUAGGCCUUUGGAACGAGGGUCGUACAUGCUCCUUCAGGGUUUUGGCACGAGAUCAAUGAAAAUGAAGACACGACCACUCCAAGCUGUGCGCUACUCCCUGUGCGUCUCCCGCAGCCUGGGUUCCCCCAGAUGCUCGGCUGAACGGAUGCCUGCAAGCCUCUGCUCCAGUGCCCAUUGUUUAGAAUGCCUUGACAGGGUUGCACCCAUUCCAAGCGAGGCGACAAGAAAUCAACCAUCUUUGGGAUUUACGUGGAAAAGCUGGUGGUAGCUGAAGUCAUGCACAGACUGAUGAGCGCUUACUGUAAUGUGCUCUCAAAGUUCAGUGUUGUAAGCUCUCUAGGUGACUGCAAAAUGAUUGAUUCUGAAGAUGAACCCUGAAGAAAUAAAUUGAUUCCUCUGAAGACCUCAUGGUGGAAAGCAUGUUUGACAUGGCAUGGCACGAUGGCACAGCACCGCACAGCAUGGCACAGCAUGGC